rnacentral:rRNA from 1 species
UAUGUGAUCGUCUCUCGCAUAUCAAUAAGCGGAGGAAAAGAAACUAACAAGGAUUCCCCUAGUAACGGCGAGUGAAGCGGGAAGAGCUCAAAUUUGAAAUCUUAAAGGGUUUCCCUUUACGAAUUGUAGUUUAAAGAAGUGUUUUCUGUUGAGGUUUUGGUAAAAGUUCUUUGGAAUAGGACAUCAUAGAGGGUGAGAAUCCCGAUAUUUGACCUUUACUUUCAACUUUGUGAUACACUUUCAAAGAGUCGGAUUGUUUGGGAAUGCAGUCCAAAAUGGGUGGUAAAUUUCAUCUAAAGCUAAAUAUUGGCGAGAGACCGAUAGCGAACAAGUACCGUGAGGGAAAGAUGAAAAGAACUUUGAAAAGAGAGUUAAACAGUACGUGAAAUUGUCAAAAGGGAAGCGUUUGACACCAGUGUUGUUUUUCUGAAAAUCAAUUAAAGAACUGUUUAUGCUAAGUUGUUUAGACUUUAUCAGCUAACUGUUUAGUUUUGAGCUUUUCUUUAAUGCACUUUUCAGUUAACAAGUCAACAUCAAUUUCUUUUGCUGUAAAAAAGCUUGAGGAAGGUGGCUUGAGAUUCGUCUUAAGUGUUUAUAGCCUCUUGCCUAUGCAGUCGGAGAGAUUGAGGUCUGCAGCGUAGAUCCUUCGGGGCUAAAUGCAUUUGUGCUAAGUUAUAGCAUUUUAUAGACUAACUUGUUGACUAUGAUUUGUCUUGUAGCUUACUCGCUUAUGUUAUUUUACCUACGCUUAGGAUGUUGACACACGCGCGUGCUCG